rnacentral:lncRNA from 1 species
UAUGUCAUAAGGUAUUUGAAAAUCAGUGAAAAUAAGCAAAAAUCAAAAUUAAGAACAUGACCUUGACCUUUGACCUUGACCUCAUGUUCAUUUUUUUGGACCAAGGACCUCAAAUCUGAAGACCCUAGGUCUCUAUCACUUAUGGUUUACCAGUUAAAAAUGCAUAAUACUUAUAUCAUUUACAUAAGGGGAAAUAACUCUCAUAUGGAGUCUCUGGAAAGCUUCGGUCCAAAUAAAUUGCCUAAUCCUGAAGAUGUAACGAGCAAUUUGGUAAAAUAAAUUUGUCGUAAUAUUUU